UGGGGAAUUUUGGACAAUGGGCGAAAGCCUGAUCCAGCAAUGCCGCGUGUGUGAAGAAGGCCUUCGGGUUGUAAAGCACUUUUGUCCGGAAAGAAAUCCUUGGCUCUAAUACAGUCGGGGGAUGACGGUACCGGAAGAAUAAGCACCGGCUAACUACGUGCCAGCAGCCGCGGUAAUAUGUAGGGUGCAAGCGUUAAUCGGAAUUACUGGGCGUAAAGCGUGCGCAGGCGGUUUGCUAAGACCGAUGUGAAAUCCCCGGGCUCAACCUGGGAACUGCAUUGGUGACUGGCAGGCUAGAGUAUGGCAGAGGGGGGUAGAAUUCCACGUGUAGCAGUGAAAUGCGUAGAGAUGUGGAGGAAUACCGAUGGCGAAGGCAGCCCCCUGGGCCAAUACUGACGCUCAUGCACGAAAGCGUGGGGAGCAAACAGGAUUAGAUACCCUGGUAGUCCACGCCCUAAACGAUGUCAACUAGUUGUUGGGGAUUCAUUUCCUUAGUAACGUAGCUAACGCGUGAAGUUGACCGCCUGGGGAGUACGGUCGCAAGAUUAAAACUCAAAGGAAUUGACGGGGUCAUAGCUG
rnacentral:rRNA from 1 species